CCGCGGUAAUACGAAGGGGGCGAGCGUUGUUCGGAAUUACUGGGCGUAAAGGGCGCGCAGGCGGCGCGAGAAGUCAGGCGUGAAAGCCCCGGGCUCAACCUGGGAAUAGCGCUUGAUACUCUGGUGCUGGAGUACGGGAGAGGGGAGUGGAAUUCUCAGUGUAGAGGUGAAAUUCGUAGAUAUUGGGAAGAACACCGGUGGCGAAGGCGGCUCUCUGGACCGUAACUGACGCUGAGGCGCGAAAGCGUGGGGAACAAACAGGAUUAGAUACCCUGGUAGUCCACGCUGUAAACGAUGUGCGCUAGACGUUGGGGGACCUAGUCCUCCGGUGUCGCAGCUAACGCGUUAAGCGCACCGCCUGGGGAGUACGGCCGCAAGGUUAAAACUCAAAGGAAUUGACGGGGGCCCGCACAAGCGGUGGAGCAUGUGGUUCAAUUCGACGCGACGCGAAGAACCUUACCAGCCCUUGACAUGUCCCGUAUGGGGCCGAGAGAUCGGCUUCUUCAGUUCGGCUGGCGGGAACACAGGUGCUGCAUGGCUGUCGUCAGCUUGUGUCGUGAGAUGUUGGGUUAAGUCCCGCAACGAGCGCAACCCUCACCUUCAGUUGCCAUCGGGUAGAGCCGGGCACUCUGAAGGAACUGCCGGUGAC
rnacentral:rRNA from 1 species